rnacentral:rRNA from 1 species
GAUGAACGCUGGCGGCGUGCCUAAUACAUGCAAGUCGAGCGGAGCGGGGACGGGUGAGUAACACGUGGAUAACCUUCGAUAAGACUGGGAUAACUUCGGGAAACCGGAGCUAAACCGGAUACUUUAUGAUGGAUCCGCGGUGCAUUAGCUAGUUGGUAAGGUAUCGGCUUACCAAGGAAACGAUGCAUAGCCGACCUGAGAGGUGGAUCGGCCACACUGGAACUGAGACACGGUCCAGACUCCUACGGUAGGCAGCAGUAGGGAAUCUUCCGCAAUGGGCGAAAGCCUGACGGAGCAACGCCGCGUGAGUGAUGAAGGUCUUCGGAUCGUAAAACUCUGUUAGUAGGGAAGCGGUACCUAAUCAGAAAGCAACGGCUAACUACGUGCCAGCAGCCGCGGUAAUAC